GAUGAACGCUGGCGGCGUGCCUAAUACAUGCAAGUCGAACGAAACUUCUUUAUCACCGAGUGCUUGCACUCACCGAUAAAGAGUUGAGUGGCGAACGGGUGAGUAACACGUGGGCAACCUGCCCAAAAGAGGGGGAUAACACUUGGAAACAGGUGCUAAUACCGCAUAACCAUAGUUACCGCAUGGUAACUAUGUAAAAGGUGGCUAUACUACCGCUUUUGGAUGGGCCCGCGGCGCAUUAGCUAGUUGGUAGGGUAAAGGCUUACCAAGGCAAUGAUGCGUAGCCGAAUUGAGAGGUUGAUCGGCCACAUUGGGACUGAGACACGGCCCAAACUCCUACGGGAGGCAGCAGUAGGGAAUCUUCCACAAUGGGCGAAAGCCUGAUGGAGCAACGCCGCGUGGGUGAAGAAGGUCUUCGGAUCGUAAAACCCUGUUGUUAGAGAAGAAAGUGCGUGAGAGUAACUGUUCACGUUUCGACGGUAUCUAACCGGAAAGCCACGGCUAACUACGCG
rnacentral:rRNA from 1 species